rnacentral:lncRNA from 1 species
AGCAACUUUUUUUUAUUCAAAUCUAAAAAAAAAAGUUAAAUUUCAUUUAAUUGCUUACUUUAUCACUUGGCUCAUGUCUCCUUUGGUCAUUCAUUUUUUUUUUUUUUUGCCUUGUACAGUCACACCACUGGCACUUUUAUUUACAAAAAAAAUGUUUACAUAAAAUGCCUUUCAUGACAAUUUUGUGGUUUCAUCUGAGCGAUCUCCUCCUACUUCUCAAGCAAGAUAUAACGGUUCUACUUUUACUACUAUCAUCAAUACCUAACGACCAAGAACAUCAAUUGUUUGUUCAUAUUUUAGUUUGGAAAAAUAUUUGAACAAAAAGGUGAAAUGGCGGAUAAAGCAAUCUGAACAUUUCGUUAAGUUGUUUUAACUGCCAAAGUGAAAGUGGACCCAAACAUCUCAAAUGAAAUAUUAAAACUUGCCAGGCAAAACACCGUCCAUAAGCACCAAAAUAACCCAAAUUUCACAAUCUAGUUCUGGGCCUUUUGAUAUUAUAACAUCAUUUAGAUAUUCACAAUAGAACAUGGAGAAAGAUUGGCUAGGUAUAUUACUAUAGUAGACCAACCUUUAACAUUCGUAAAAGAUGAACGAUUGACAAACUUUUUGUAUAUUGCUGCAAUACAGUAACCUUUAAAAUUUGCAAAAGAUGAUCAAUUCAUGAAUUUUUUGCAAAGG